UUAAUAUUGGAAAGUAACGACGGGGACUGAUCCUUCUGGUCCACACGCACAUUUUGAUGCGUGUGAAAUAUUGCUGCGUGCUCGUUUGAAUUUCUAUUUAUUUUUUGUGUGUGUGCCGGAGUGUGUGGAGCAGAGAAGCAGAGAGUCGUUGGCGCCACUUUCAAACGGCGCACUGACACAGAAUGAGAGUCUGAGAGCUUCAAACACCCUGAACGCAACAGUUUUAUACAGACUGUAACAUCAGGAAUAUCUGCACUCACAGACUCUUUUGGACUCUUUUCUGCACGGAAAGAGCUUCAUCAGGUGUGGACCUCUGCAGUCUGCAGCAUCCCUGCAGCCCUACAUGGUUUCAUCAUGACUCUGU